rnacentral:rRNA from 1 species
AAACCUGCGAAACUCGAAUGAACGAACGGAGAGAUUCAUCGACAACCGACGGCGCGCGGGCGUGCGCCUCGAUGUCGCGCCUGCCCCCCUCGUGGGUGCUGCGGCGCGGCACGGGUCGCGUCCGUCUAGUACCGUCGGCGUCGUGCACUUCUCUCUCAGUAAUGCAUCGCGACCCGUUCGACGUCGGCUUAAGCGCCGUCCGAUUCGCCCAGUGGUGGGCGACCACCGCUGGACCGUGACGGUGGCCGGCCGGCUGUCGGACGGUAUCGAAGUGAACCGCGCACGCGCCUCGCGCGCGUCCGGCCCGACGCAAGCUCGCGCCGUACAAACGGUCGCGGUCCUGCCUUAGCGCGGACCGCGACGCGGCGCCGCUGCUGUCGCAGCCGUGUUGUCUCGGACCGUGCGCGUCUCAGUCUGCGAUGAGUC